rnacentral:rRNA from 1 species
GAUGAACGCUAGCUACAGGCUUAACACAUGCAAGUCGAGGGGAAACGACAUCGCAAGCUUGCUUUUGAUGGGCGUCGACCGGCGCACGGGUGAGUAACGCGUAUCCAACCUGCCCAUCACUUGGGAAUAACCUUGCGAAAGUAAGACUAAUACCCAAUGAUAUCCCACGAAGGCAUCGGAAUGGGAUUAAAGAUUUAUCGGUGAUGGAUGGGGAUGCGUCUGAUUAGCUUGUUGGCGGGGUAACGGCCCACCAAGGCAACGAUCAGUAGGGGUUCUGAGAGGAAGGUCCCCCACAUUGGAACUGAGACACGGUCCAAACUCCUACGGGAGGCAGCAGUGAGGAAUAGUGGUCAAUGGGCGAGAGCCUGAACCAGCCAAGUAGCGUGCAGGAAGACGGCCCUAUGGGUGGUAAACUGCUUUUAUAAGGGAAUAAAGUGGGUCACGUGUGACUUUUUGCAUGUACCUGAUGAAUAAGGACCGGCUAAUUCCGUG